GCGAACGCUGGCGGCCGGCCUAACCCAUGCCAGUCGCACGAACCUUUCGGGGUUAGUGGCGGACGGGUGAGUAACACGUGGGAACGUGCCUUUAGGUUCGGAAUAACUCAGGGAAACUUGUGCUAAUACCGAAUGUGCCCUUCGGGGGAAAGAUUUAUCGCCUUUAGAGCGGCCCGCGUCUGAUUAGCUAGUUGGUUGAGGUAAUGGCUCACCAAGGCGACGAUCAGUAGCUGGUCUGAGAGGAUGAUCAGCCACAUUGGGACUGAGACACGGCCCAAACUCCUACGGGAGGCAGCAGUGGGGAAUCUUGCGCAAUGGGCGAAAGCCUGACGCAGCCAUGCCGCGUGAAUGAUGAAGGUCUUAGGAUUGUAAAAUUCUUUCACCGGGGACGAUAAUGACGGUACCCGGAGAAGAAGCCCCGGCUAACUUCGUG
rnacentral:rRNA from 1 species